rnacentral:rRNA from 1 species
UACAGAGGUCCCAAGCGUUGUUCGGAUUCAUUGGGCGUAAAGAGCUCGUAGGCGGCUUGUUGCGUCGGCUGUGAAAUCCCGGGGCUUAACUCCGGGCGUGCAGCCGAUACGGGCAGGCGUAGAGUCCGGUAGGGGAGACGUGGAAUUCCUGGUGUAGCGGUGAAAUGCGCAGAUAUCAGGAGGAACACCGGUGGCGAAGGCGGGUCUCUGGGCCGGUACUGACGCUAAGGAGCGAAAGCGUGGGGAGCGAACAGG